rnacentral:misc_RNA from 1 species
ACGGAAACGCUUUCUAGCUCGCUAUAAUUACCCA